rnacentral:siRNA from 1 species
GGAAGUCCUGUAACUUUGGGAGCA